rnacentral:tRNA from 1 species
GUGCCUGUAGCUCAGCAGCAAGGGUGCCAGUCUCAUACACCGGAGCUGGUGGGUUCGAAUCCAGCCCAACUACA